AGAGUUUGAUCAUGGCUCAGAUUGAACGCUGGCGGCAGGCUUAACACAUGCAAGUCGAGCGGAAACGAUGGGAGCUUGCUCCCAGGCGUCGAGCGGCGGACGGGUGAGUAACACUUAGGAAUCUACCUAGUAGUGGGGGAUAGCUCGGGGAAACUCGAAUUAAUACCGCAUACGUCCUACGGGAGAAAGGGGGCAACUUGUUGCUCUCGCUAUUAGAUGAGCCUAAGUCGGAUUAGCUAGUUGGUGGGGUAAAGGCCUACCAAGGCGACGAUCUGUAGCUGGUCUGAGAGGAUGAUCAGCCACACCGGGACUGAGACACGGCCCGGACUCCUACGGGAGGCAGCAGUGGGGAAUAUUGGACAAUGGGGGCAACCCUGAUCCAGCCAUGCCGCGUGUGUGAAGAAGGCCUUUUGGUUGUAAAGCACUUUAAGCAGUGAAGAAGACCUAACGGUUAAUACCCGUUAGCGAUGACAUUAGCUGCAGAAUAAGCACCGGCUAACUCUGUGCCAGCAGCCGCGGUAAUACAGAGGGUGCAAGCGUUAAUCGGAAUUACUGGGCGUAAAGCGAGCGUAGGUGGCUUGAUAAGUCAGAUGUGAAAUCCCCGGGCUUAACCUGGGAACUGCAUCUGAUACUGUCAGGCUAGAAUAGGUGAGAGGAAGGUAGAAUUCCAGGUGUAGCGGUGAAAUGCGUAGAGAUCUGGAGGAAUACCGAUGGCGAAGGCAGCCUUCUGGCAUCAUAUUGACACUGAGGUUCGAAAGCGUGGGUAGCAAACAGGAUUAGAUACCCUGGUAGUCCACGCCGUAAACGAUGUCUACUAGUCGUUGGGUCCCUUGAGGACUUAGUGACGCAGCUAACGCAAUAAGUAGACCGCCUGGGGAGUACGGCCGCAAGGUUAAAACUCAAAUGAAUUGACGGGGGCCCGCACAAGCGGUGGAGCAUGUGGUUUAAUUCGAUGCAACGCGAAGAACCUUACCUGGUCUUGACAUAUCUAGAAUCCUGCAGAGAUGCGGGAGUGCCUUCGGGAAUUAGA
rnacentral:rRNA from 1 species